GGGUGAAACUCGCAUUGAGACCAAAUCGUUUCAUCGUCCAGAUCCCAUGCGCACACCUCUGCCGCGCGCGAAACUUCGCCUUCUUCCCGCGCCGCGCGGAAUCCUCCGGCUCCUCAUCCUUCUUCCCACCCCCUUCGGUAUCCCCUUCCUUGCAUGCCACUAUUUGCCGCAGCCGCCGACAGUGCAUCGUCUUGCCCCAUCUGCUGCACCCGGCGAGCUAGGGCACGACGCGAGAUCCACUGGCCAUGGAUCCACCGCCGGCUGAUGAUUCGCGGCGGCGCGCACCCAGCAGAGGAGGGAAAUCGCGUGGGGGCAAGCAGCUAGGACUGAAGAAGACGUCGGGGACUACUCCAUCACCGCAUCCAGGUUACUCGCCUGCUCCACCACCCGUUCCGCCGCCGCAGCUGCCGAUUUCCUCUCCUGCUGCACCAAAUCCAUCCUCUGCUAUGCCGAAUCCCACCCCUUCUGCGCCGACUUCCUCCCCUGUUGUGCCUACAUCGACCAUGCCGCCACGGCCACCGCACGGAGCAGGAUGAGGCGCCAUACCCCCAAAUUUUGCGCUUCAUGGAAACCAGCAAGGCCCUACUUCAUGAAUGAAAGCAAAACCUAUGGGGUGCAGUUUUGUCUUGUGAGAACAACAUUCAAUAGUCCAAGGUUGAAGGCUAUCUGAACUUAUGGGGUGCAGUUCUGUCUUAUGAGAACCAGUGUGCAAGGCUGAAGGCUGUCUGAACUUAUUUUUCAUCUUAGUUUACAAUCUUAGUUUCAGUUGGUUAUCUAUGUUUUCCAGUGCCUUGAACUGCUCUAUGCGAAUGUUGUAGUUGUCUAUCUGGUCCAGUACUCCAGUUGUUUGUUAGUUGAGUUGUCUUCGUAUGCAGUCCUGAUCUGUCACUUGAGUUGUCUUCGUAUGCAGUUCUGUUGUCCUGAUAUAUUUAACAAUCUGAACAAUUAUAUGGUCUUGCUAUUCCAUUU